rnacentral:rRNA from 1 species
UACGAAGGGGGCUAGCGUUGCUCGGAAUCACUGGGCGUAAAGCGCACGUAGGCGGAUUGUUAAGUCAGGGGUGAAAUCCUGGAGCUCAACUCCAGAACUGCCUUUGAUACUGGCGAUCUUGAGUUCGGGAGAGGUGAGUGGAACUGCGAGUGUAGAGGUGAAAUUCGUAGAUAUUCGCAAGAACACCAGUGGCGAAGGCGGACUC